UCUAGUUUUUUUUACUUUAAAACAUUUUUAAUUUUUAUUAUACCUUAAGUUUUGAGAUGCAUGUGCAGAACAUGCAGGUUUGUUACAUAGGUAUACACGUGCCAGGGUGGUUUGCUGAACCCAUCAAGCAACCAUUGACAGGAUCAGAAUUUUUAAAGAUAAUUUGGUCUGUAACUGUCCUUCCUGCCAAACUACCCACCCCACCACUCCAGCUUGUACCCCUGCUCUCUUUAAAAUAGCCAGUAGGGAUUAGUCUAGACUGCAUGGUCUAACCCUAGCCAAUAGGGAAUUGUAAUAGUGGGGUUUAGGGGUUCAGCAUGCCCUCAGUACCCCUGAGAGGAUGUUUCUCCAGGUUCUUGGUCUCCUGCCCUCUCAAGACUGAGAGAGGGGACCAUGGCGCAGUGCUCAGUAAAUGCUGGACACAAAAGUGAUUGUAGAAAGUGAUUUAUUUAAAGAGAGAGAGAAACCGGAGAAGGAGAGAGAAAGAAACAGCCAACUCUCACACUGAGUGAGAGAAUCCAGAAAGAUGGAAUCCAGGAGAGGAAAGCAGCUUCCACGAGAGUGUUAGGGACUAGAGAGAGAGAGACGGAGUUUAGGAGGGGAAGACAGGCUUCCACGAGAGAGUGUGGAAGGGGACUCCAGAGGGAAAAUCCAGGAUAGAGAAAAGCAGCUUCCAUGAAGGGAGUGUUUGUGGAAGGGGAUCCAAACAUGGAGUCUGAAGGGGUGUGGAAGAAGGGGACUUUUAACCUGGGAGGAACCCCCACCUUUUUAAAGACCCCAGGCCGAUGAAAGGAGUUCCUCAGAACUUCCGCUGGAGUGACUGACUCCUAGUUUCUUCCUGCUUACGUGAAAUUUAAAUGUAACCAUUAAACCUCCGGGAUGGAUAUGGGGGAGGGGCAUGGCACUGGGAAAUUUUUGCCCUUAAAACUCUGCCCCUUUGUGGACCUGGAAAAAGAAGACAUUCCCUUAGAAUGACACAGCAGUAGGGGCAACCUCCCUCAGGAAUAAAUGCCCCUUCCCCUCCCUUGCCCAGGUGUGCAUUCAUCAUUGUUCCAUCCAUGAGGUGCACCCUUCUGUAGAAGUAAACUGCUUUGCUGAGAGGAUUUAUCUUCCAGUGCUAUUUCUUUUGUGGCAUCAAAAUUUUACAUAUAACAUCCAGGACUGCUUCCUCCUGUUGGGGUGAAGAAGUGGGGUGGGGGGUGCCACCGAGAUUUGAGCUGGGGGCACCUUCCAUUUCAUGUCAUCCACUCCGGCACCUGGCAGGUCCACUUUCUCUGACUUCUCCAGAGAACAAAAGGCUGUGGUUCAGAAAGAGAUCUGCUCCCAGCUUCCUUGGAGUUUAAUCCCAUUAAUUCCCACUGGGGGCCGAGUCUCUGGCAACUGUUAAAAGAAAGGGAAAGGAACUAAGCUCUUUCCAAAGAGUUAGGGAGAAGGAGGGGGACCAAGAGAGGCCCCAGGAAAAGAACUUCAAAAAGGAGAUUCACAUACAUUAUCCAGUCCUUCUCCGUGGGACCUCCGGCAUGGCUUGUUUGGUAAGAAUUGUGUUGUUAAGGGUCUCUAUUGCCAUAAGAAGGAAAAUCACUCCUCCAACGAGGUUCAGAAUCUCCUCCCCAGUUAUCCCAGGCAGGCUGUGUGCACCUUGGAGCCCUGGCAAUGGGUUCAUGCAAGUGAGGAAACCAGGUGGCCUUCACAGUGGCCACCUCCCUUGGUCUCUGCCCACAUCACAUGCUGUUAAAGAGAUACAAAGCUCGACACUUAUUACAGGACACCAGAUGGGCUUUAUUCAGACUGUGGCAGGUCAGAUCUUCAUAACCACUGUUUCAACACUAAGUGGUUACAUUAAAUAUUAAAAGCUGAAAGCUUGGGCGUGGGGGUUCAUGCCUGUAAUCCUAGCACUUUGGGAGGCGGAGGCAGGCAGAUCACUUGAGGCCGGGAGUUCGAGACCAGCCUGACCAACAUGGAGAAACACUGUCUCUACUAAAAAUAAAAAAUUAGCUGGGCGUGGUGGCACAUGCCUGUAAUCCCAGCUACUUGGAAUGCUGAGGCAGGAGACUCGCUUCAACCUGGGAGGUAAAGGUUGUGGUGAGCUGAGAUCAUGCCGUUGUACUCCAGCCUAGGCAACAAGAGCAAAACUGUCUCAAAAAUAAAUUAAAAUAAAAUAAAACCAAAAGCUGAAAGAGCCAGGCCCUUAUACAAACGCUGGAAUUUGACAAAAGCCCACCAAGACUUUUGCCUAGGCCUUUCCUGGGCCUUGAAACAUGACAAGAUAACAAAGGAAGUCUUAACAGGACCCAUUUACGAUUAAACAAGUUUUUAUUGUGGGUCUGAAGCAACUCCCCAGACCUCCACAAUCAAGCGUUAUUGGGGUCUAGAGGAACUCUCAAACCUUCACGACUUAGCAGGAAACAGGAUAAGCGUAAUCGCCCCUGGCACCUGGACUCGUCUAGAUUAAGUAAAUUGACUGAGGCUCCAGAGGAAGCUCUUCGGGACUCAGACCUUAGUUUUAGAUUAGAAGAAAUUAAUUAUUUAUGUCUUUAGUGUCAUACACACUUACACAUAAACAUACAGCUUAGAAGGUAUAUAAGCUCUGGAAAACUUUGUAAUAAUGUGUUGGUCUGGAGAGAUUUUCCCAGCAUUCUCCUUGUCCCCAGUUACAGAAAUAAACUCUCCUCUUUCCCAGUUCAUUUGCAUCUUGUUAUUGGGCCUCAAGAAUUGCAGCCUGACCCUUUUGUUCCGGGAGCAAGACUGCCGCAGGAGGGAAGAAAGACUUCGGUGUAAACAGAGUCUGCCAGAACAGAAGGUGUUUUUCAAUGCUGGGCAGACUCAAGGAAAGGUACUGAAGGAUGCUAAGGGGUGGGUGUCUAUGAUUAGCCCAUCUGAGUUGUUAAUUCGUGUUUAUCUGGAGAAGAAGUAAACUUCUCAUAUCUUUAGGACAGGAGGUAGUUCUGCGUGUUGGAAAAGGCACCCAGGAAGUUAGGCCGUUAGCCUCCGACUAGGAACAGGGAGACAGAAGAGCUGUCACCCUAGAUGUUUGCAUUUCAAAGAAAUGUCUCCCAGAAACAUUUCUGCAUUGUAGGAGACUUAUGUCUCAAAGGGACAGAGAAAGAGUUCCCAAAAGCCAAGAUUUCUAAAGUCGGGAGCCUAUAGUCACGGUUAGGCUGGAAGAAAUGGUACAUUAUUUUGUCAGUGUGUCAACAGAGCUCAGGAUUAGAACUUACAGGGGAGAUAUGUAUUCUGCAAGAUUUAGGGGUUCACAGGGAAUUUCCUUGUGAGCAAUGUGAGGGAGGCCAUCUGCGGAGACAUGUGACCUUUGAUUAUUCUCAGAAUGAGGGAAUGUGGUAACUUCCCGGGUCCACAUGGGGCGUGCUUUCAAAGGCAAGAACUUCCCUGCAAGGCGCCUGACUGCCUUGAUUCCCGUCUCCAUCCGGGAGCUGAGAGGUCUUUGUGGAGCGUGGAGGUCUUUGUCUAACUUUCGCCAGCUGGGGAAGGGAGACUGGCCAGGUGAGCCUCUUUUGUUUCGCCGGCCCGUGAAGGGAGACUGGCCAGGUGAGCUUCACCCAGUAGAAAAGCCCGCCAAAAGCUGUGGGCGGACUCUGGGCCAAACAGCCAAUCAGGUGUCAGAAGUAAAGAUCAGUCAUUCCAACGGACGUUUAAAGAAACUCCUCUCAUAGGACGAGAACUUGACUGGGGCGGGAGUAAGCUCCAGAUUAAAGACCUCCCGCCCCCCACGUGCACAGAGGCUUUCCGCUUCUGGGAUUCCCUCCCCCAGCAGCUGGGGAGCUGGCUUUUCUGCGUCCCUCUCUACUUCUCUUUCUCUCUCUGCCUGAUAAAUCGCUUUUCUGCAGAAGCUCUUGGGGUCUGAUAUUUACCUGGAGAGUAUCACGGCGCCAGGGCCUCCUACCCAUUCUUGGGCGUUCAGGAGCCCAAGGGCCUCAGCACGCCCGGGCACCUCCCAUCAUGGAGCUGAGCCUCGCCCGCGUCCCGCAACCUGGUUUUUUGGAUGAGGCUAUGACACAGGCUUGUCAGAUGACAGCCGUCUGUUUGGACACAAAAAGGAAGGCAGUGUUGUGUGGCUCACUUCCCAAGCUGAACUUCCCCUUUGCCAUAGUGUGCUUGGGGUCCUGAGAUCCUGUUUUCAUUCGCGGAGGCUUGAGUGGUUCCCGGGCAGCCACAGCAGUCGCUGCGCCCGGAAGCUGGCUUUCCUCGGACGCUUUUGGCUCCAGGAACGUGGGUUGAGAGCGUGGAACGUUUCUGCCACAAAAAGAACCAUUCUCGGGAAACUAAAGGAAAGGAAGCUCUGAACAAAGGAAGGUGGAUGCAGAAGACGUGUACCGCGUGACGCUGUGUAUCCAAAGUUCAGAAACCACGCCGAUUAAUCCAAGGACAGGGACGGCUCUUCAGAGUCAGAUGGAGUCUAGCUCUGUUGCCCAGGCUGGAGUGCAGGGGCGCUCACUGCAAGCAAAGAGAAGGCCAAAGACCGAGAAAGUCGGAGAAGCUGUGGCAGCCAGGAACAAUCUAACCAGUCACGAGGAGUGAACGUCAUGGGGUAUCCUGGGUGAAAUCCUGAAAACAGGAAAAGGGCAUUAAUUAAAAGGCAUCAGCUGGAUUCAGCCUUUCCUCCUGGAAGCCGCCGUCUCUGAAUUCCUGAGGUUGUUCAGGUAGUCGCCCCUCCUGCAGAGGUUCUGUUGGAGUGAGAACCAGUGUCCCUGGGUCUCCCCCACAACAAGAUGAUGUUCACAGGAACAACAAGGAAGAACCCAACAGCUAUGCCAGUCCCUUGAGCUGAAUCAGAUGGAGCCUGUCUCUGUUACUCAGGCUGGAGUGCAAUGGCACAAUCUCAGCUCACUGCAACCUCCACCCCCAGGUUCAAGUGAUUUUUCUACCUCAGCCUCCUGAGUAGCUGGGAUUACAGGUACCCACCACCAUGCCCGGCUAAUUUUUGUAUUUUUAGUAGAGAUGGGAUUUUGCCAUGUUGGGCAGGCUGAUCUCAAGUGAUCCUCCCGCUUUGGCCUCCCAAAAUGCUGGGAUUACAGGUGUGAGCCACCGCACCCGGCCACUAAUGUAUUCUUAAUGCUCAGGGCAGUGCUGUGUUGAGUAAGAUGACUGAAGAACAUGUUGACUCCCAGCAUGGUUUUCUUUGCACCGUACUUUAAGGAGGUUUGGAGGCUGGCGAUCCUUCCAGUGUUCCCGUUGAUGCUCAUUUGCUGUAACAGCCCUUGGAUUCCAGUGGAAAUCUCCUUCCCCUCAGGAUCCUCAUCCUGCACAUUCACCCUCCAGAAUCAGAAGGCUGGGGAGAGGGAUCAGCACAUCUUAGAGUGUGAUUCCUUGCUGAACAAAUUCACCGUGAGGCAAAAGAAAGACAUCUGGACAAUGGGCCUGGAGAAUGGUGGAUUUCAUCCAAAGUCAAUGGCGUGGAACUGGGAGUUUGCUGAGAAGGAUGGCUUCCAGAUUCAUCCAAAAAGCCAAGUGCAAUAUUUUUCCAAGACUGAGAAACCCUGACGGGCUUAUUUGGGAGUGAGUUAGAGCCAGAGUCAACCCACCCUGAGGGACUUGGAGCAGGGCUGGUGAUGCCUCAACGAAACCUUGGAAAUCGAGAAUGCCCCCAUUUUAAAGGUGGGUAAACUGAGACUCAGGCAUGCAUCUCCUUGGGCAUAUCCAGGACUAGUAAGGGGCAGGAGGCAGUAGUAAGACCCAAAGGGUACCCUGGCAGGGCUUGGGGCUGCUGAUGGAUGCAUUUAUUAUAGCUCCUCCUUGCUCUGUUUCCACAUCUGCCAUCAUCCCGCCAGAGGGUAAGCUGUCUAAAAAUCAGGAGCAUGUCUUGCUCAUUUGUGGAACCCUGAUGCCUAAAUGCAAUCCUUGGCAUACAAUAGGGACUCACUCAAUGUUUGCUGAUUGAAUGAGAGAAUGUUGACCACAGAAGUCCAAAGAUACAGAAGUGCAUUUAGAACAAGGGCCCAGAGGGGAGCCACACAGAGAGAAAAGCAAGGAAGGGCCAGUCCAGCACCCCACUGGUGGGAGUGGGUGCAGGUGCCCUCAUCUUCAGCAGGCGCCCCUGCCUGUGCCGAGCCCUGGCCAUGCGUGGCCGUAUCCACCCUCACAGCAGGCACACGGGGAAGGCAGGGUGAUCACUGCUUUAAACAAGAGGAAACUGCGACUCUGACAGGUUUGCCAAGUUGCUGAAGGCUGUGCAGAGAGUGAAAAAUGAAGCCAGGCACGUCCUUCUCCCGCCCACGCUCUGUUAGCUCUACUGUUGAAACGGAACAGAGCGGUGAUCUUACAGAAAGGAGCCAGAGGACAAGGGGGUUAGUCUGGGGACCCCACAGGAGAAGAUCUUUCUUUCUGGGGAAAGGUCAGACGGGUUUCCUGGUCUGAAGCCUGGAUCGAAGUUAGGGUCAGAGUGGGUGCUGGUAACUCCUGAUGUGGUGCAUGAAAAGGGGAGGUUUUGUUCAUUUUGAAUAGGAAAUACUGAGCUAAGAAGCAAGGUCAGGCCAGGCGUGGGGGUGGCUCACACCUGUAAUCCCAGCUCUUCGGGAGGCUGAGGCGGGUGGAUCACCUGAGGUCAGGAAUUCGAGACCAAACUAGCCAACGUGGUGAAAUCCCACCUCUACUAAGAAUACGAAAAUUAGCCAGGAGUGGUGGUGGGUACUGGCAAUCCCAGCUACUCCGGAGGCUGAGGCAGGAGAAUUUCUUGAACCCCAGACGUGGAGGUUGCAGUGAGCUGAGAUCGCACCACUGCACUCCAUCCUGGGUGACAGAGUAAGGCUCCGUCUCAAAAAACAAAACAAAACCAGUCAGGGUGGAAAUGACCCAAAGAUGGGUUUCAUGCCUGGGCAGCCGCAAAGCCAGUAAGUAUAAUUGAGGUAGUUUCUAAGCCAGCAGGGUGGAGACUCCAGGGCAGGAGUGCACGUGGGAGGCUUCCUUUUACCAGCAGAAGGAGACGGAAGGUGGAAGGGACACUUGGAUGAGCCCUGUGAGGCGGGCACACACAGUGAUCACCCUGCCUUCCCCAUAUGCCUGCUGCGAGAGUAGACACAGCCGUGCACGGCCGGGGCUCAGCACAGGCUGCCAGGUAGGGCGUGGGCAGCUCCCGGGACCUUGCCUGUCUGCACCAAAGCUCUUCCCAUCCUAAAACUACUCUUUGCCUUUGGCCUGACGUGAGCAGCCAUGUUCAGAGGAAACACUCCAAAGCCAACCCUGGGAGUUGUAGAGAAAUAUGCUUGAUGCAGGAAUGAGGUCAACCCAAGCUUCUCUGGAGCCAGGUCUUCCUAGCAGUGUUUACCACCUGGAACGCAGAAGGAGCCUGUCUGUCAUGUUCUCCAUCCACAGAGCUAACAGAAGGAGACUUGUUAGUGCUGGGGAUACUGGUGUCCUGGGAGACCACCCAUUUCUAUGCUAAGAAUGGCGCCUCAGGGCACUGCUGGAGCUGCUCCAAGGGACGAGGAACCAGGGAUUCUCUGUAAACUGGGAGAGCCUCAUGGUCCCUGGCUCUGGAUACCGUUUUUCCACCGGAGACCUUAGCAGGGACAGGAUUGAGCUGUUGUGUUUCUCUGAGUUUGUCAGGAAAUCACCUUUUCGGCUUCUGUCUCCAGUUGCUCUCUUUUUCCAUGGGGUUCAGACAUUAGCCCGUGGCUCUGGGCAAGAAGAACAGAUAAGGAGCUGUUUAUAUCCCUGUCCCCCUUUCCCCAAUACUGUCCCAGCACCUCACUCCUGCAUAAACCUUCUGCACACAUGAAUCUGCAUAAAGAGAUAGCUGCACUGCACCAUGUCCUACAGCCUCAUCGCCCCUGGCUGAGGUUCCUUUGGGCAUGGCAGGUCAGUACUUAUCCUUGGGAGGAACUGAGGGGCAGAUGGAGCUUGAUAUCUGGGUCCAGUGAUAGCCAGUGGCACAGCAAGCAGGGGAGUGGGAGGGUUCGCCUUGGAUGAAAGCAGUAAGGGAAUACAUCAGCCAUGCUCAGUGGCUCAUGCCUGGAAUCCCAGCACUUUGUGAGGCUGAGGUAGGAGGAGUGCUUGAGGUCAGGAGUUUGAGACCAGUUUGGGCAACAUAGUGAGAUCCCAUGGCCACUAAAAAAGUUAAAAAAUUAUCCAGGCACAGUGGCUCACACCUAUAGUCUCUGCUACUUGGGAGGCUGAGACUGGAGGAUCUCUUGAGACUAGGAGUUUGAGGCUGCAAUGAACUGUUCACAGCACUGCACUCUAGCUGAGCCAGAGUGAGAUCCUGUCUCAAAAAAUCAAUUUAUUGUUCAUUGUUCCUAGAUAAUUUUAAAACAAUAAAAUCGACUAGAGGUUGGUCAACUUUUUAUUGUCAUCUUACACCAGCAGUUCUAAUAAAAUUAGCGAUAGAAUAUUCUUCCUCCAAAUCUUCUGUUGGUCUGUGUUCUAGGCCAUUGGUUCACAGUAUCUUCUGAUAAUGGUGAUAUAUACGUAAACUGCAAGUUAUGAUUUAUUAUUACUUUUGUUUAUUAUUAUCUUUUUCUUUUUUCUUUUUUUUUUUUUUAAGAGACAGGGUCUCGCUCUGUCGCCCAGGCUAGAGCACAGCCUUGAUUUCCUAGGUUCAGACAAUCUUCCUUCCUCAGCCUCCUGAAUAGCUGGGGCCACGCAGGUGCAUGCCACUGUGCUCAGCUUUAUUUUAUUUUAUUUUUUUGUAGAGACAAAGUCUCACUGUGUUGCUCAGGCUAGGCUUGAACUCCCGACCUCAAGCCAUCCUCCUGCUUCAGCCUACUAAAGUGCUGGGAUUACACGUGUGAGCUGCCACACUCAGCCAAGAUGUUCCUCUAUAUGGAACUCCAGUUGGAGAACUCCCAGCUUUCUAGCUGGUCUCAACAUGUAUGGACUCGGCUACACACACUGCUUCUGAGGAAAGGUUCCUAAUGGUUGAGUCAUUUGAAUUUGCUUCUGCUGAAGUUCGUAUCUCUAAACUACAUAUGUAUCCCUGUAUUUGAGCAGAGAUUGUUAACAUUGUUUAAAACAUGAAUUGUUGGCCCGGUGAGGUGGCUAGGGCUUGUAAUCUCAACACUUUGGGAGGCUGAGGCGGGAGGAUUGCUUGAGUCUAGGAGUUUGAAGCCAGGCUGGGCAACACAGAAAGACACUAUCUCUACAAAAAAUUAAAAAAAAAAAAAAAUUAGCCAAGCUUGGCUAAUUUGCCACAAGGCAAUUGAGCAUGUGCCUGUGGUUCCAGCUACUGAAGAGGCUGAGGUGGGAGACUCUUCUGAGCCCGGGAGGUCGAGGCUGCAGUGAGCUGUGAUCGCACCAUUCCACUCUGACCUUGGCGACAGAAUGAGACUUUGUUUCAAACAAAACAAAACAUAAUUGUCGAACUCAUUGAAAUCUAAUGAUCGAUUUGACAUAAAAGAUGCUAAAGUCAUUGCAGAGAUAAACAGGUCUUUGAGUGACUUCAGUUCUCUCAUUCCACCUACUAAGAGUCUCCGAAUUUAGCACAAUUGACUCAUUCAGAAAAAAUGUUUCCAGGUUUAUCAAAAACAUUCACAUGGAACUAAGACAUCGUGAUACAUUUCUCCUUUCCUCUUUUUCACACUGUAAUUUUUAAAGAUUUUUCUUUAUGUUUAGUUCGAUAUAAGAAAUUUUCACGAUUGGCAUUUUUGUUCUUAAUAUUAUGAGGACUUGUUUCGUUUAUGGAUUUUUACUGAAAACUAUUUUGAUAUAUACAGCAGGGGACUGGUGAGAUAUGGCUGCUUAGGGUGUGAAUAUGUGGUAUGGAUUGAAUUGUGUCUCCCCAGUCAUAUGUUGAAAUCCUGAUUCCCAGUGUGACUCUGUGGAGAUAUUGAAGAUAGUUUUUUGUUUGUUUGUUGUUUGAGAUGAUGUCUUGCUUUGUCGCCCAGGCGAGUGCAGUGGCACGAUCUUGGCUCACCACGACAUCCUUCUCAGGUUCAAGAGAGUCUGCUGUCUCAACCUCCCAAGUUGCUGGGAGUACAGGCACACACCACCACACCCAGAAACAUCAGACCUGGGUCUAGGUUAGGAUUUAAGCAGGUGAAUGAGGAAGGAAGAAUCACAGGAGGGAGAACAGUGUGUGAGCCCACGGCGUAGGGAGGAAUGUCAGGCUUAUUCACAGAUGCCAUCUGGUUUAGCCACCCUGGCUCUCAAGGUGAGUUCAAGGCCCUCUGUAGGUUUCCAAGAUUCUUUGGGGGAUCCACAAGAGCCUCUGUUUUUCACCUACAUAUCUGUGUGAGGCUGGAUUUUCUACAUAUAACUAAACCAAAAUAAGGUUUUGUAGCAGAUUGAAGGAAGGAGUGGAUUUGGAAAUCCAGCUGUCUUCCAUUAAGCCAGACACGAGAGAUUUGCAAAAAUGUAAAACGAUGCUCCUCUCAGGGUUUGGGAAUAUAGUUUGCUUUUAACAAAUAUGUUAUUUAUAUUAUCGUGCAAUGGGCUCAUUGUUUACUAAGUUAAUAAAAAAUGUUAAAAAUGUUGGUUUUAAUCUAUAAUGCUUUAUCAAUUGAUGUUAUAACCCACAUUGAGGAAAGCAUUUGGGGGAUUCUGAUUUUUUUUGUUUUUUUUUUUUUGAGGCAGAGUCUUGCUGUGUUGCCCAGGCUGGAGUGCAGUGGUGCAAUUGCAGUUCACUGCAACCUCUGCCUUCCAGGUUCAAGCAAUUCUCUUGCUUCAGCUUCCUGAGUGGCUGGGACUACAGGCAUACGCUGCCACACUGGCUAAUUUUUGUAUUUUUAGUAGAGAUGGGGUUUCACCAUGUUGGUCUGGUGGGUCUUGAAUUCCAGACCUCGUUGAUCCACCUGCCUUGGCUUCCCAAAGUGCUGGGAUUACAGGCGUGAGCCAACACGCCCAGAAUCCCAGUGGUUUUUAAAAGUGCAAAGCUCUCAAAAAGUUUUGAGAACUUCUCAGGUAAAAUACAGACUAUGUGAAAUUCAGUAGCACAAGCCAGGGACACAUCACAAAAUGCUAAGGGGGCCAAGGUGAUCUUGUGCUUCUUUUUGCAGGCAGAAAGGGGCUGUGAAAUGGUUCCAUGAAAGCAGAGAUACAAAGGGAGAUGUGCUUCAGGAAAAUAUUUUUGGAAAUAGGUGCUCGGUGCUGCAAAGAAAAAUCAGCACGGAGACAAAGGAUCUUUCAGCAAUGCAAUUUUUACUUCCUGGACUGCAGGAAAGGUACCCUCGCCAGCCAUCCUGCCAUGAGAGUACAAUGAACAAAGGGAAACACACAAAUUUAUCCCUUACGCAUUUGGGGUUGUCCCUACUGCUGUGUCUGAUCUCCACUGGCUGGAGCCAGACCUCACAAUCUAAACUAAAACCCGAUUGGCUAAUAACUUAAAACUUUUCUAAACAGGUAAAAGCAGUGGAGAGCUGGGCCAUGCCUGUGAGCACGUCCAGCACAGAUAAUUUGCUAAAGUACAAGGACAUAGAAUGUACCACGUGCCUGUAAGCAUGGCAGGUCUCACAGCUACAUAGGAUGGGGCUUAACAAAGUUAUUAGCUCACUUACUAUUUAACAAGAAAGGAAACUU